rnacentral:misc_RNA from 1 species
AAUGUAUAACUGAAGAUUGUUGGCAUGGCCUACAGUUCUUUAUAUUGUGUGGACACAUAUCUUUGCCCGGGGGGAAGGGGGGUAUGGAAGUUAAUACCAUUUCGAUUAAGUUUCAAUAACUGAAUAAUGGAAUAUAGAUGGGAUAGAGAGUUGGGUUAUACUCCCCCAGUUCACCAGUAUUUCUCCAGUGACCCCAAGUACAUGGUUUAUGAGGGAAGUUAUAAAUUUUAUAAUGGGCUUUGAUAGGGAUCUUUGAAACUUGCAUAUGCAAGUUAAAUGUAAUUUAGUAAUUUAACAUUUCUGGUAUUAUUUAAUUAGACCUACUUUAUGAAUGAUUCUCUGGCUGUUGUAUUAUAUUGUGAAAAUUAUGUAUAACUGAAGAUUGUUUGCAUGGCCUACAGUUCUUUAAAUUGUGUGGACCCAUAUCUUUGCACAAGGACACAUUCAAUUAACAUGCUUUGACUUAUAUAGCAUAUUCUUUCUCUCUUCUUCCCAGAAGGAGAUUUAAAUAAUCUGCUUUGAUAUCAAGAUUUUGCUCUCUAGAUAAAUCUAUGCGUAGCAAGCACAUAAAUACUCAAACUUGAAAACUAACUUUUUGGUAAGUAUUCAAGCUCUUACUAAGCCAACAAUCCUGCAUAUAAUUCAUUCAAUUACCAUUUUCUUCAACUACCAAAGCACAUGCAUCUGCAUGCAUACAAUUUUUUUAGCAUAUGAAGCUAUGUCUAAGUUUGCUUAUCCUAAAUUUGGCGUCCAUUCUGUGU